GCCCUCGUAGCUCAGGGGAUAGAGCGCUUGCCUCCGGAGCAAGAAGUCGCAGGUUCGAAUCCUGCCGAGGGCACCA
rnacentral:tRNA from 38 species